UUGGAAGUAAAAAGUCGUAACAAGGUUUCCGUAGGUGAACCUGCGGAAGGAUCAUUAAAGAGUAAGGGUGCUCAGCGCCCGACCUCCAACCCUUUGUUGUUAAAACUACCUUGUUGCUUUGGCGGGACCGCUCGGUCUCGAGCCGCUGGGGAUUCGUCCCAGGCGAGCGCCCGCCAGAGUUAAACCAAACUCUUGUUAUUAAACCGGUCGUCUGAGUUAAAAUUUUGAAUAAAUCAAAACUUUCAACAACGGAUCUCUUGGUUCUCGCAUCGAUGAAGAACGCAGCGAAAUGCGAUAAGUAAUGUGAAUUGCAGAAUUCAGUGAAUCAUCGAAUCUUUGAACGCACAUUGCGCCCCUUGGUAUUCCGAGGGGCAUGCCUGUUCGAGCGUCAUUACACCACUCAAGCUAUGCUUGGUAUUGGGUGCCGUCCUUAGUUGGGCGCGCCUUAAAGACCUCGGCGAGGCCUCACCGGCUUUAGGCGUAGUAGAAUUUAUUCGAACGUCUGUCAAAAGGGAGGACUUCUGCCGACUGAAACCUUUUAUUUUUCUAGGUGACCUCGGAUCAGGUAGGGAACCCCAAC
rnacentral:rRNA from 1 species